GAGUUUGAUCCUGGCUCAGGACGAACGCUGGCGGCGUGCCUAAGACAUGCAAGUCGAACGAGGUCCAACCAGUGGCAACACUGGAGACGACCUAGUGGCGAACGGGUGAGUAACACGUGAGGAACCUGCCCCGAAGACCGGGAUAACUCUCCGAAAGGAGUGCUAAUACCGGAUGUCCCCAGGAGGUCGCAUGGCCACCAGAGGAAAUGCUUUUGCGCUUCGGGAGGGCCUCGCGGCCUAUCAGCUUGUUGGCGGGGUAACGGCCCACCAAGGCAUCGACGGGUAGCUGGUCUGAGAGGACGAUCAGCCACACUGGGACUGAGACACGGCCCAGACUCCUACGGGAGGCAGCAGUUAGGAAUCUUGCGCAGUGGGCGAAAGCCUGACGCAGCAACGCCGCGUGGGGGAUGAAGGCCUUCGGGUCGUAAACCCCUUUCAGUGGGGACGAAAAUGACGGUACCCACAGAAGAAGCCCCGGCCAACUACGUGCCAGCAGCCGCGGUAACACGUAGGGGGCAAGCGUUGUCCGGAUUUAUUGGGCGUAAAGGGCUCGUAGGCGGUUCGGCAAGUCGGGUGUGAAACCUCCAGGCUCAACCUGGAGUCGCCACCCGAAACUGCCGUGACUUGAGUCCGGUAGGGGAGCAUGGAAUUCCUGGUGUAGCGGUGGAAUGCGCAGAUAUCAGGAGGAACACCAGUGGCGAAGGCGAUGCUCUGGGCCGGUACUGACGCUGAGGAGCGAAAGCAUGGGGAGCGAACAGGAUUAGAUACCCUGGUAGUCCAUGCCGUAAACGUUUGGGCACUAGGUGUGGGAACCCUCUCAACGGGUUCCGCGCCGUA
rnacentral:rRNA from 1 species